UGGCAGGUACAGAGGGAUGCUACCGGGCGACCGGAUGCGGAUCUCGAAAGCCUGUCCCAGUUCGGACUGGAGUCUGCAACCCGACUCCACGAAGUUGGAUUCGCUAGUAAUCGCGCAUCAGCCAUGGCGCGGUGAAUACGUUCCCGGGCCUUGUACACACCGCCCGUCAAGCCAUGGGAGCCGGGGGCGCCUGAAGUCCGUGACCGCGAGGGUCGGCCUAGGGUAAAACUGGUGAUUGGGGCUAAGUCGUAACAAGGUAGC
rnacentral:rRNA from 1 species